rnacentral:rRNA from 1 species
GAUAAACGCUGGCGGCGCACAUAAGACAUGCAAGUCGAACGGACUUAACUCAUUCUUUUAGAUUGAGAGCGGUUAGUGGCGGACUGGUGAGUAACACGUAAGCAACCUGCCUAUUAGAGGGGAAUAACAGUGAGAAAUCAUUGCUAAUACCGCAUAUGCUAACAGUAUCGCAUGAUACAGUUAGGAAAGGAGCAAUCCGCUAAUAGAUGGGCUUGCGUCUGAUUAGCUAGUUGGUGGGGUAACGGCCUACCAAGGCGACGAUCAGUAGCCGGACUGAGAGGUUGAACGGCCACAUUGGGACUGAGAUACGGCCCAG